GGUUUAUCGGGGUGGGAUAGAAUGCUAGUCAAGCGCUCUCAAGCUAAUAUGAGAGUGCGGCGCACAGCUCAGUAACACGUGGCUAACCUGCCCUUGGGACGGAGACACCCCCGGGAAACUGGGGUUAAUCCUCGAUAGGUGAAGGACUCUGGAAUGACUCUUCGCCCAAAGGGCGCCUAGGUCAUGCUCCUAGACGCCGCCCAAGGAUGGGGCCGCGACCGAUCAGGUAGUUGGUGAGGCAAUGGCUCACCAAGCCUUUUACCGGUGCGGGCCGUGAGAGCGGGAGCCCGGAGAUGGGCACUGAGACAAGGGCCCAGGCCCUACGGGGCGCAGCAGUCGCGAAAACUUUGCAAUACACGAAAGUGUGACAGGGCUAUCCCGAGUGCCAUCCGCUGAGGAAGGCUUUUACCCAGUGUAGAAAGCUGGGAGAAUAAGGAGAGGGCAAGACUGGUGUCAGCCGCCGCGGUAAUACCAGCUCUCCGAGUGGUGUGGAUGUUUAUUGGGCCUAAAGCAUCCGUAGCUGGCUGGGCAAGUCCCCUGUUAAAUCCACCGAUUCAAUCGUUGGUGUGCGGGGGAUACUGUUCGGCUAGGGGACGGGAGAGGCCGACGGUAUUUUCGGGGUAGGGGUGAAAUCCUAUAAUCCCGGGAAGACCACCAGUGGCGAAGGCUGUCGGCUAGAACGCGCUCGACGGUGAGGGACGAAAGCUGGGGGAGCGAACCGGAUUAGAUACCCGGGUAGUCCCAGCUGUAAACGAUGCGGGCUAGGUGUUGGGGUGGCUACGAGCCACUUCAGUGCCGCAGGGAAGCCAUUAAGCCCGCCGCCUGGGGAGUACGGCCGCAAUGCUGAAACUUAAAGGAAUUGGCGGGGGAGCACCACAAAGGCGUGAAGCUUGCGGUUCAAUUGGAGUCAACGCCGGG
rnacentral:rRNA from 1 species